AACAAUAGUGAUUCCGUCAGUAGCGGCGAGCGAACGCGGAGAAGCCCAAACCAGAGAGCUUGCUCUCUGGGGUUGUGGGACGUCUCACAUGGAGUUACAAAGGAACCGGUUAAACGAAGAGGUCUGGAAAGGCCCGCCAACGAAGGUAAAAGCCCUGUAAUUGAAAGUCUGUUCCCUCCGAGACGGAUCCCGAGUAGUGCGGGGCACGUGAAACCCCGUAUGAAUCCGGCAGGACCAUCUGCCAAGGCUAAAUACUUCCUAGCGACCGAUAGUGAAGCAGU
rnacentral:rRNA from 1 species